rnacentral:rRNA from 1 species
AUUGAACGCUGGCGGCAGGCUUAACACAUGCAAGUCGAGCGGUAACAGAGAGAAGCUUGCUUCUCUGCUGACGAGCGGCGGACGGGUGAGUAAUGCCUAGGAAUCUGCCUAGUAGUGGGGGAUAACUUGCCGAAAGGUAAGCUAAUACCGCAUAUGUCCUACGGGAGAAAGGAGGGGACCUUCGGGCCUUUCGCUAUUAGAUGAGCCUAGGUCGGAUUAGUUAGUUGGUGAGGUAAUGGCUCACCAAGACCGCGAUCCGUAACUGGUCUGAGAGGAUGAUCAGUCACACUGGAACUGAGACACGGUCCAGACUCCUACGGGAGGCAGCAGUGGGGAAUAUUGGACAAUGGGGGGAACCCUGAUCCAGCCAUGCCGCGUGUGUGAAGAAGGUCUUAGGAUUGUAAAGCACUUUAAGUUGGGAGGAAGAGCAGUUAACUAAUAUUUGACUGUUUUGGCGUUACCGACAGAAUAAGCACCGGCUAACUUCGUGCCAGCCGCCGCAGUAA